rnacentral:rRNA from 1 species
GUGGGGAAUAUUGGACAAUGGGGGGAACCCUGAUCCAGCCAUGCCGCGUGUGUGAAGAAGGCCUUUUGGUUGUAAAGCACUUUAAGCGAGGAGGAGGCUACCGAGAUUAAUACUCUUGGAUAGUGGACGUUACUCGCAGAAUAAGCACCGGCUAACUCUGUGCCAGCAGCCGCGGUAAUACAGAGGGUGCAAGCGUUAAUCGGAUUUACUGGGCGUAAAGCGCGCGUAGGUGGCCAAUUAAGUCAAAUGUGAAAUCCCCGAGCUUAACUUGGGAAGUGCAUUCGAUACUGGUUGGCUAGAGUAUGGGAGAGGAUGGUAGAAUUCCAGGUGUAGCGGUGAAAUGCGUAGAGAUCUGGAGGAAUACCGAUGGCGAAGGCAGCCAUCUGGCCUAAUACUGACACUGAGGUGCGAAAGCAUGGGGAGCAAACAGGAUUAGAUACCCGUGUAGUCC